rnacentral:rRNA from 1 species
AUUCCAGCUCUAAUAGCGUAUAUUAAAGUUGUUGCAGUUAAAAAGCUCGUAGUCGGAUGUCGGGCUCGGGCAGGCUGUCGGCUUCGGUCGGACGGCAGGCUCGGGUCUUUCUGCCUGAGGAUCCUGUUGCACUUAAUUGUGGGGCGUGGGGACGCAGGCCGUUUACUUUGAAAAAAUUAGAGUGUUCAAAGCAGGCCUACGCUUGAAUACAUUAGCAUGGAAUAAUGGAAUAGGACUUUGGUGCUAUUUUGUUGGUUUAUGGGACCGAAGUAAUGAUUAACAGGGACAGUUGGGGCCGUUUAUAUUUCGUUGUCGGAGGUGAAAUUCUUGGAUUUACGAAAGAUAAACUUCUGCGAAAGCAUUCGGCAAGGAUGUUUUCAUUG